CUCUUUAGGGAAGCACAAGCCGUCGACUCUGCUCCUCCAUUCUUCAUCCCCCCUCGUUCUUCGCUGUCAAGGGUGGAACAUCGACAGCGAGACUAAUAUCAGGUUCUUUAAUCCAUUUCCUCUAUCUUCUUCGUGCCCAUGAAACACUUCCAGGUUUAUCAUUAUUGUUGGAUUUAUGUCUCCUGGACUUAGAUCUAGAUUUUUUGGGAUUGUUGGUGAAAUUUGUUCGGAAGUUAAGGAACAAGCCGAGUCCUAUUUUGUAUAAGAGGAACCCUUCUUGUACCAAAGGAUUGAGGUCCAGGUGAAAGAACCAGUAGAGGAUGGGGAAAGGAGCAGAGUUAGGGGUUGUUUAUGAAUUGUAAAGAACUGCAACCCCGUUCUUUUAAGCAAAUUUAUUGUAAUGUAUUUAGAAUUAGGGUGUCAGUAGGAUAUGAUUAUGUAUAUGCGUGUGAGUAUAUGUGAAUUGUAUGGCUUGUGCAUGAAUUUUUGUUUGCUUGUAGACUUGUGGCUAGGAAACUUGGCUAUGGUAUGUGGUUUUGAUAGAUUUAUUUAGUAGACCAAGUUUCCACUAGAAACAAAUAUUUAUUUUGGUAUAUAUGUGAUUCUACAAGCAAAUGCAAAGUGGUUGCAUUGCAAAUGGUGUGCUAUGGGGAAACAUAUACCUUGGAUAAAGACAGUGGGUCCGUAGGCCCUACAAAGAUCUUUGAGCCAAGUGGA